UUUUCAGAAGUCUUGUUAACCCAAGGAUCGGGGAUCAACUUAUUGAUAAGUCCAUGACGUUUUUUCUUUCUUUGUUUAUUUUUCGUAGUCUUUGUUUUCGAUUUUUUUUUUUAGGAUUGUAGAUUCAAUUAAAGGGAUGAGUUUUAUCCUAGGUGGUUAUUGUUUUGAUAUUGCAUAUUUUGAGUGGGUUUUCAGUAGUAGUUUCGAUCCUUCCCAUACCCUCCUGCAUCAGGUAAGUCUUGACCAUCUAACUUUAGAAAUCUAAAAAUU
rnacentral:lncRNA from 1 species